GACAGAGGUCCCGAGCGUUAUGCAGAAUCACUGGGCUUAAAGCGUGUGUAGGCGGUUCGUUAAGUACCUUGUGAAAUCCCACGGCUUAACCGUGGAACUGCUUGGUAUACUGGCGGUCUUGAGCCACUUAGGGGCUACCGGAACAAAUGGUGGAGCGGUGAAAUGCGUAGAUAUCAUUUGGAACGCCAAUGGUGAAAACAGGUAGCUGGGAGUGUGCUGACGCUGAGACACGAAAGCCAGGGGAGCAAACGGG
rnacentral:rRNA from 1 species